AUUAAAUGUAAUUUUUUGGGGUCCAAUGGACCCCGAAGACCACGAGUUUGACUAUUUUUGUCACGCCUACAUAAAAACAGAUAACAUUCCAUUUUUUAUUUAUUUUUUUAUUUUUUUUUUUUUGUAGAUCUAGAAAGUGUUGAGAGCCGUAGGACGUUUCAUACCAUUUUGGAAAAAGAGAAAAAUUAAUUCAAGCAAAAGUCAUUUGGGGUCCAGUAGACCCCGAAGACAAGAUGUGUGUGUGUGUGUGUGUGUGUGUGUGUGUGUGUGUGUGUGUGUGUGUGUGUAUUAUUUCUCUUUUCUGCAUUUCACCUCUGCUCUAGCUUGCUUCCUUCCUUGUAAUAAACCCUAUGUUCUAUUGCAUAUCCUUUGUAACAUUGUUGGCUCUGUGACACAUUGCAUGUUAUGUUCUAGAUUCUAGAAGAUCAUCAUGCUUGCUGAUGGCCUGCUGCACUCCCUGAACAAGACAAUCUCCACGGCUAUGAACUCGACUAGUGUGUUUUUAAUUAUGUUGGCCAAUGAGACAGGCACCAUACUGUCCAACGCAAAGAUAGGAUAUAGGCAUUUGACCCUGUGAUUCUUCAGGACAAGAUCUUGAUGCCAUCCAUACUCGGUACAUGACGAAGCUCCCGCGUCCAUUUGGGCUGAAGGUCGAGACAGAACCAAACCAAAGCUGGACUGUAACCUACUGGCCACAGGACAGACUUGUUUACAUUUUGAUGAUCUCCUUCUGUCUACAUGAAGUUCUAUUGCUGAAUUCCCUAUUAUUUGUUGUUGGAAACGAUGCAAGUCCCGUUCAUUGUUCUCGUAAAUGUUAGGAUAUACAUUUAUGCCAUUUCCUGAGUGUUGAGUUGCGUUGACUUGACUGGAGUGGUUUUAACAUGCACUGGAUGGAGAUCUCUCUCCUCUUUUUAGCACCUUAGUCACUGAUUGUGUCCCUCCUAACUUAAAGCCGUGUUAUUCGUUUCUUUUAGUCUCUUCUGCUGUCGUCGUGCUCUUUCUCUUACGUGCAUCUCUUAGCUCGGUUAAUUUCCUGUGCUCAUUUCUUCACUCACUCAAACCCGUUUGCUGCUGAUGUUUGGAACUUCACUGCAGUUGUUGCUGAAUGAAGGAAAAGAUGGAUUCUGGUGGAGAGGAGGCAUCUGGAGUUUGACCGAAUGGGGUGAGCCGAGUGGGCCCCCCCUUCAUCUUCGGCUCAAUGCCCUCCUGAAGGCACAGUUCCCUGGUAUAUGAGCAGAACGAACAUACUUGAAGAGCUAGAAAUGCUCAAAGACUCUCAGUGCUUCUGUACUGUUUCUUAUAGUGACGAUGAAAUAGUCCUUUUUUUUUUCUUUUCUUUUUUUUUAAAUGAAAUUAAUAAACAUGCUGUUUUACAAU